CAUGGCUCAGGAUUAACGCUGGCGGUAUGCCUAACACAUGCAAGUCGAACGGAAUACUAAUUAAGAGAAUCUCACACUAGUGAGAGGUUCUCACGAGUAGUAUUUAGUGGCGGACGGGUGAGUAACACGUUGGAACCUGCCCCGAAGUGGGGAAUAACUGCUCGAAAGAGUAGCUAAUACCCCAUAGUAUCCGGUUUAUCCGGAUUAAAGAUUUAUCGCUUUGGGAGGGGCCUGCGUCUGAUUAGCUAGUUGGUGAGGUAAAAGCUCACCAAGGCGACGAUCAGUAGCUGGUUCGAGAGGAUGACCAGCCACACUGGGACUGAGAUACGGCCCAGACUCCUACGGGAGGCAGCCAGUGAGGGAAUCUUCCACAAUGGGCGCAAGCCCUGAUGGAGCAAUACCGCGUGCAGGAAGACGCUUUUCGGAGUGUAAACUGCUUUUGUCGUCGAAGAUUAUGACUGUAGACGAAGAAUAAGGACCGGCUAACUACGUG
rnacentral:rRNA from 1 species